UACAGAGGGUGCGAGCGUUAAUCGGAAUUACUGGGCGUAAAGCGUGCGUAGACGGCUAUCUAAGUCGGGUGUGAAAGCCCCGGGCUCAACCUGGGAAUUGCAUUCGAGACUGAAUAGCUAGGGUACGGUAGAGGGAAGCGGAAUUUCCGGUGUAGCGGUGAAAUGCGUAGAUAUCGGGAGGAACACCAGUGGCGAAGGCGGCUUUCUGGCCUGUUCUUGACGCUGAGGCGCGAAAGCUAGGGGAGCAAACGGG
rnacentral:rRNA from 1 species